GGCUCAAUGGUCUAGUAGUAUGAUUCCUGCUUCGGGAUAAUCCCGCAUGCGAUGUGUGCAGAAGAUGCAGGAGGUCCCGGGUUCAAUUCCCGGUUGAGCCC